UUCGUGGACGGGAACCAGCGGGGGAUCAUUA
rnacentral:rRNA from 1 species